rnacentral:lncRNA from 1 species
GUCUGAUGCAGAAAUCAAUGCACCACAGCUGCUUUAGUUUGAUUGGAAUAUAAUUCCUUUUUUAGAAUACUUGAUUGGACUGGAAUUCAGUGCACCACAGCACCCUGCAUGUCUGAAAUGCUAAAUGUUGCAGCCACCUUAUCAAGGCAUGUAUCCAGAUCCAGCAUUAGUAUUCAGAUUUCCCACAAAGCAGUAGCACAAAAGAAAUGAAAUGACCAAACCUUAUAUGUCCUGUAAAUGGGAUGUUACAUCAUGGUAAGGACACUUGUAAACUUCUCCCUUGCAGUAACUGAUUCUUUCAGGAUUACUCAGUUAACUGUUAGCUCCACUUCAGAUCCUAAAUGCAACUGAUCAGGGAUAUGGCGAAC